AACUGCCACCCCCCAAAAAAGACAGGUAAUGUGGGGGCCAGGAUGCAUCGAGAAGAGUGGAGUAAAAGCAACAUAGGAUGCUCACAGGCACAAAAGUAUGCUGGGACUGUAACCAAAUGCAAGAAGAACGAGCUGCAGGUUCUGAUUUUCCUUCUGAAUGUAUGAAGCCUGUGCUUUCUCUCCAUUCCCACGGUGCUAUCUCAAUUUCUUCUAAGCAGAACCCCUAGCCCAUUCCCCAAGAAUGUGCCUCCUGUUCUUCAACCCUAUUUGCAGAACUUCAUUUGACUCCUUCUAACUGAUUCAGUCACAUCCCUUCCCCCUCAGAGACCUGUUUAUGUCUACAUCAAAUGCAUUGACCUAAAAUUCCCAGCAUCCCUCUCCAUGCUCAUCAAACAGCUCUCACACCCCACAUGGCCUGCUCACUCCAGUAUUUCUGCUUCGCUCCUCUGCUUGAGUGUAUACGCCGUCCGAAACACCAGACCGACUCUUCCAGUACUGUGAGAUCCGUCAAGUUUCACUAUAUUCAUGAAGACUGGUUGUGACCACGCUACAUCCUCCUCCCCAGUGAAUAAAUUUUCGCCAAAUGCCUGCAAUGGCAGUGAUGGUCAAGUUUAUGUGCUGAAUGGCUGGACAUUUCGUGGCUAGAUUCUGAGCCAAUGAGUUAUGGGGCAAGGACUCGGUGGAGCAGAGACCAUUGUGUGAAACACCCCAGGAGAAAAGGGGAAGCUCAUCAAAGAGGUAA